rnacentral:rRNA from 1 species
UACAGAGGGGGCAAGCGUUAUUCGGAAUUAUUGGGCGUAAAGGGCGCGUAGGCGGCCUGGCAAGUGGAAGGUGAAAUCCCUCGGCUUAACCGAGGAACUGCCCUCCAAACUGCUUGGCUUGAGUCCGGGAGAGGUGAGUGGAAUUCCCAGUGUAGCGGUGAAAUGCGUAGAUAUCAGGAAGAACACCAAUGGCGAAAGCAGCUUUCUGGGACGGUACUGACGCUGAGACGCGAAAGCGUGGGGAGCGAACAGG